CUCCUGCAGUGGGAAGACGGCUGCCAGAGUGUCAGCUUGGUAUUUCUCUCCAAUUGCAUACAAAAAUAAGAAGGAGCUGCAAGCAAAGAAUGGAAAUUUCCAAAGGCAGCAUCGAGAGCUGCUGUUCUGCUGACUGUCUCGCUCAGCCAGGGUCAUCUGCUGCUCUAAGACAUCAAGGAAUGCCAAGCUGGUCCUGCCGCCUGAGUCAACAGGCAUCUAAUAGUUCCCUGAGAUCUGGCAUGUUCCUUCCACCCACGGAU